GAUGAACGCUGGCGGCGUGCCUAAUACAUGCAAGUCGAGCGAAUGGAUUAAGAGCUUGCUCUUAUGAAGUUAGCGGCGGACGGGUGAGUAACACGUGGGUAACCUGCCCAUAAGACUGGGAUAACUCCGGGAAACCGGGGCUAAUACCGGAUAACAUUUUGAACCGCAUGGUUCGAAAUUGAAAGGCGGCUUCGGCUGUUACUUAUGGAUGGACCCGGGUCGCAUUAGCCAGUUGGUGGGGUAACGGCUCACCAAGGCAAGGAUGCGUAGCCGACCUGAGAGGGUGAUCGGCCACACUGGGACUGAGACACGGCCCAGACUCCUACGGGAGGCAGCAGUAGGGAAUCUUCCGCAAUGGACGAAAGUCUGACGGAGCAACGCCGCGUGAGUGAUGAAGGCUUUCGGGUCGUAAAACUCUGUUGUUAGGGAAGAACAAGUGCUAGUUGAAUAAGCUGACACCUUGACGGUACCUAACCAGAAAGCCACGGCUAACUACGUGCCAGCAGCCGCAGUAA
rnacentral:rRNA from 1 species